AGGGAAACUUACGCUAAUACCGCAUACGACCUACGGGUGAAAGCAGGGGAUCUUCGGACCUUGCGCGAUUGAAUGAGCCGAUGUCGGAUUAGCUAGUUGGCGGGGUAAAGGCCCACAAAGGCGACGAUCCGUAGCUGGUCUGAGAGGAUGAUCAGCCACACUGGAACUGAGACACGGUCCAGACUCCUACGGGAGGCAGCAGCC
rnacentral:rRNA from 1 species